rnacentral:rRNA from 1 species
AGAGUUUGAUCCUGGCUCAGGAUGAACGCUGGCGGCGUGCCUAACACAUGCAAGUCGAGCGAUACGGUUAAAAGUGAUUCUUCGGAUGAGUGAUUAACUAGAAAGCGGCGGACGGGUGAGUAACGCGUGAGUAACCUGCCCCAUACACAGGGAUAGCCAUUGGAAACGAUGAUUAAUACCUGAUAAUACUAUUUUAUCACUUGAUUUAAUAGUCAAAGAUUUAUCGGUAUGGGAUGGACUCGCGUCUGAUUAGCUAGUUGGUAAGGUAACGGCUUACCAAGGCGACGAUCAGUAGCCGACCCGAGAGGGUGAUCGGCCACACUGGAACUGAGACACGGUCCAGACUCCUACGGGAGGCAGCAGUGGGGAAUAUUGCACAAUGGGCGCAAGCCUGAUGCAGCAACGCCGCGUGAACGAUGAAGGCCUUCGGGUCGUAAAGUUCUUUUCUUGGGGAAGAAAAAAAUGACGGUACCUAAGGAAUAAGCACCGGCUAACUACGUGCCAGCAGCCGCGGUAAUACGUAGGGUGCAAGCGUUAUCCGGAAUCACUGGGCGUAAAGGGUGCGUAGGCGGCCUUGCAAGUCAGAAGUGAAAGGCUACGGCUCAACCGUGGUAAGCUUUUGAAACUGUAAGGCUAGAGUGAAGGAGAGGAAAGUGGAAUUCCUAGUGUAGAGGUGAAAUUCGUAGAUAUUAGGAGGAACACCAGUGGCGAAGGCGACUUUCUGGACUUUAACUGACGCUGAGGCACAAAGCGUGGGGAGCAAACAGGAUUAGAUACCCUGGUAGUCCACGCCGUAACGAUGAAUACUA